rnacentral:lncRNA from 1 species
AAAAACAGGCAGAUCUGUUUGACAAUUUUGAAGUUGGGGCAUUUUAUAGCUAACUAGUAUACUGUGUGGGUUUUUCUCAUUUUUGGUUUCUGUAAAGUGACAUAUAAUUGCUAAUAUACACAUCACUGGAACGCCAGUGAAUAGUUGUCUCAUUAGCAUCAUAUACAUUUUUUUCUUAAUUGGAUAUUUGAGCAUAUAUCAUUAAUUG